AGUGAACGCUGGCGGUAGGCCUAACACAUGCAAGUCGAACGGCAGCACAGUAAGAGCUUGCUCUUACGGGUGGCGAGUGGCGGACGGGUGGGGAAUACAUCGGAAUUUACUUUUUCGUGGGGGAUAACGUAGGGAAACUUACGCUAAUACCGCAUACGACCUACGGGUGAAAGCAGGGGAUCUUCGGACCUUGCGCGAUUGAAUGAGCCGAUGUCGGAUUAGCUAGUUGGCGGGGUAAAGGCCCACCAAGGCGACGAUCCGUAGCUGGUCUGAGAGGAUGAUCAGCCACACUGGAACUGAGACACGGUCCAGACUCCUACGGGAGGCAGCAGUGGGGAAUAUUGGACAAUGGGCGCAAGCCUGAUCCAGCCAUACCGCGUGGGUGAAGAAGGCCUUCGGGUUGUAAAGCCCUUUUGUUGGGAAAGAAAAGCAGCAGGUUAAUACCCCGCUGUUCUGACGGUACCCAAAGAAUAAGCACCGGCUAACUUCGUG
rnacentral:rRNA from 1 species